GUAGGUGGCAAGCGUUGUCCGGAAUUAUUGGGCGUAAAGCGCGCGCAGGUGGUUCUUUAAGUCUGAUGUGAAAGCCCCCGGGCUCAACCGGGGAGGGUCAUUGGAAACUGGGGAACUUGAGUGCAGGAGAGGAAAGUGGAAUUCCACGUGUAGCGGUGAAAUGCGUAGAUAUGUGGAGGAACACCAGUGGCGAAGGCGACUUUCUGGCCUGUAACUGACACUGAGGCGCGAAAGCGUGGGGAGCAAACAGGAUUAGAUACCCUGGUAGUCCACGCCGUAAACGAUGAGUGCUAAGUGUUGGGGGGUUUCCGCCCCUCAGUGCUGCAGCUAAUGCAUUAAGCACUCCGCCUGGGGAGUACGGUCGCAAGACUG
rnacentral:rRNA from 1 species